rnacentral:rRNA from 1 species
GACGAACGCUGGCGGCGUGCUUAACACAUGCAAGUCGAACGGAAAGGCCCUGCUUUUGUGGGGUGCUCGAGUGGCGAACGGGUGAGUAACACGUGAGUAACCUGCCCUUGACUUUGGGAUAACUUCAGGAAACUGGGGCUAAUACCGGAUAGGAGCUCCUGCUGCAUGGUGGGGGUUGGAAAGUUUCGGCGGUUGGGGAUGGACUCGCGGCUUAUCAGCUUGUUGGUGGGGUAGUGGCUUACCAAGGCUUUGACGGGUAGCCGGCCUGGGAGGGUGACCGGCCACAUGGGGACUGAGGGACGGCCCAGACUCCUAUGGGAGGCAGCAGUGGGGAAUAUUGCACAAUGGGCGGAAGCCUGAUGCAGCAACGCCGCGUGCGGGAUGACGGCCUUCGGGUUGUAAACCGCUUUCGCCUGUGACGAAGAGUGAGUGACGGUAAUGGGUAAAGAAGCACCGGCUAACUACGUG